rnacentral:lncRNA from 1 species
CGGUGAGAUAACUCCACCUGGGGCCCUGCAUCUGAUAGGCGCUCAGGAGAAGACAGCACGUACAGACCAACCAUCCUGGUUGUAAACUUGUGUCCUAGUCAGAGCUCUUUCUAGCUGGAGUAGAAAAUUCUUAGGCUGUAUGUAAUGGAAAGAGAGUGGAGUCCAGCAAUAAAAACAGAUCAGAAAUUACUACCUACUUGAAACUGGACUUGUUUUCUGCGCUCCUAUGAAACUGAACAGUGGAGGGUUGCUCGUGAAGGAUCUGGGACAUGUUUCAUAUGGAGCACAAGAAAAGGACGUCGAACAUGCAACGGUCUGCAUCCAGAGGAAGAAACAAAGAUAUGAAGAGGUUAAAUAACUUGCCAAGGCCAAUCAGCUAGCGAGCAUCAGAGCUAGGAUUCAAGCCCAGGCAGACCAGCUCCAGAGCCUGAGCUAGACUCAAUGUCAGUGAUGAUGUCGUUGACCUUCG